GAAAGCCUACGGGGCGCAGCAGUGGGGAAUAUUGGGCAAUGGAGGCAACUCUUACCCAGCAAUGCCGCGUGAAUGAAGAAGGUCUUCGGAUUGUAAAGUUCUUUAAUUGGGGACGAAAAAAAUGGCGGUACCCAAGGAAUAAGCCCCGGCUAACUACGUGCCAGCAGCCGCGGUAAUACGUAGGGGGCAAGCGUUGUUCGGAAUGACUGGGCGUAAAGGGUGUGUAGGCGGUGUAGCAAGUUAGAAGUGAAAUACCUAGAGCUUAACUCAGGGGGUGCUUCUAAAACUGCUCUACUU
rnacentral:rRNA from 1 species